rnacentral:piRNA from 1 species
GUUUUGGUGACUCCUCUUAUGUUGU